rnacentral:misc_RNA from 1 species
GAUGAAGAACGCAGUGAAAUGCGAUAAGUAGUGUGAAUUGCAGAAUUCAGUGAAUCAUCGAAUCUUUGAACGCACAUUGCGCCCCUUGGUAUUCCAUGGGGCAUGCCUGUUCGAGCGUCAUUUGUACCUUCAAGCUUUGCUUGGUGUUGGGUGUUUGUCUCGCCUUUGCGUGUAGACUCGCCUUAAAAUAAUUGGCAGCCGGCGUAUUGAUUUCGGAGCGCAGUACAUCUCGCGCUUUGCACUCAUAACGACAGCGUCCAAAAGUACAUUUUACACUCUUGACCUCGGAUCAGGUAGGGAUACCCGCUGAACUUAAGCAUAUCAAUAAGCGGGGA